UUGUCUCAAAGAUUAAGCCAUGCAUGUCUCAGUACAAGCCACAUUAAGGUGAAACCGCGAAAGGCUCAUUAAAUCAGUUAUGGUUCCUUAGAUCGUACCCACAUUUACUUGGAUAACUGUGGUAAUUCUAGAGCUAAUACAUGCAAACAGAGCUCCGACCGGAGACGGAAGGAGCGCUUUUAUUAGAUCAAAACCAAUCGGUGGCGGGUCCGCUCGUCAUCGUAUAACUUGGUGACUCUGAAUAACUUUAAGCUGAUCGCACGGUCUUGCACCGGCGACGCAUCUUUCAAAUGUCUGCCUUAUCAACUGUCGAUGGUAGGUUCUGCGCCUACCAUGGUCGUAACGGGUAACGGGGAAUCAGGGUUCGAUUCCGGAGAGGGAGCCUGAGAAACGGCUACCACAUCCAAGGAAGGCAGCAGGCGCGCAAAUUACCCACUCCCGGCACGGGGAGGUAGUGACGAAAAAUAACGAUACGGGACUCAUCCGAGGCCCCGUAAUCGGAAUGAGUACACUCUAAACCCUUUAACGAGGAUCAAUUGGAGGGCAAGUCUGGUGCCAGCAGCCGCGGUAAUUCCAGCUCCAAUAGCGUAUAUUAAAGUUGUUGCGGUUAAAAAGCUCGUAGUCGAAUUUGUGUCCCGCGCCGCCGGUUCAUCGUCCGCGGUGUCAACUGGCGUGUCGUGGGACGUCCUGCCGGUGGGCUUAGCCUUUCGGGGCGACGCCCAACUCAAUCCCGCCGCGGUGCUCUUCACUGAGUGUCGAGGUGGGCCGGCACGUUUACUUUGAACAAAUUAGAGUGCUUAAAGCAGGCUAAAAUUUCGCCUGAAUACUGUGUGCAUGGAAUAAUGGAAUAGGACCUCGGUUCUAUUUUGUUGGUUUUCGGAACCCCGAGGUAAUGAUUAAUAGGAACGGAUGGGGGCAUUCGUAUUGCGACGUUAGAUCGUGAAAUNCUUGGANCGUCGCAAGACGGACAGAAGNGAAAGCAUUUGCCAAAAACGCUUUCAUUGAUCAAGAACGAAAGUUAGAGGUUCGAAGGCGAUCAGAUACCGCCCUAGUUCUAACCAUAAACGAUGCCAGCUAGCGAUCCGCCGACGUUCCUCCGAUGACUCGGCGGGCAGCUUCCGGGAAACCAAAGCUUUUGGGUUCCGGGGGAAGUAUGGUUGCAAAGCUGAAACUUAAAGGAAUUGACGGAAGGGCACCACCAGGAGUGGAGCCUGCGGCUUAAUUUGACUCAACACGGGAAAUCUCACCAGACCCGGACACC
rnacentral:rRNA from 1 species